AGGACGCUGGAGCACCGAAGAGGACGCUGGAGCACCGAAGAGGACGCUGGAGCACCGAAGAGGACGCUGGAGCACCGAAUCGAAGAGGACGCUCGUCACGGAUAUUCAGGUAUAUUAUUUUUAAAUUUAAUGUCUCACCAUGUUUUUUUACGUACCCAGGAGGGCUCUACUACCACCGAAGAGGAUCAUUGGACAGCGAGGUUCGCCGUCGGAGCUACCAGGAUUGUCGCCCAAGAUUGUCAAGAGGGCUCCACCACACCGAAGAGGACCACUGGACGUCGUGGAUCGCCGCUGGAGCAACGAGGGUCGCCGCUCAGCUCCGAGAUUCACGUCCAUUAGGACGACGGAAACAGAGAUGCUAUGAAAAUUCUAGGAUCUUGAGGACUUGCAGUGAACGCAAAGAUAUAGCAAAAUCAAACACCACUCACGAAUGUCGCAUCGUUAAAAUUGAAGAGGAUUAGAGUUCAACAUGGCGACGAGAACACACCAAAUGUAAAGCCUAGACCACAGAAGGGAAUUUCAAUAAAAUCCUAGAAAUUUUCCUUGUGUUUGAAAAAUAGACUAGACCUGAAUUUGCCACCAUUUCAAGUACGUGUGUCUUGGAAGCAAUUGUGAAUGUUGUAUGCUUUUAGUAUACCGAGGAGGCACCUGCCAAGAAAAUAAAGCACAAAGUGAUUAACAUGUUCAGUUUUGUAACUUCACAGAAGGUGUCAAAGUCAAAUGUGCUGAAUAUGCUCAUAUUUUUGCACAAAUGAAAGAGAAAAGAAGGUGAAGUCCCUGGAGUUGCAGGUCUAUGCUAAGAACUUAAGGUCCAUGGAAAAGAUGGAAAAUGUCGAGCUCAUCUUGGAACAAGGACAGUAAACAAGGACUUUCAUUUAGGAUAUUCAUAGAAGAAUAAUGGCCAAUUUUUUUGGAAAGGACAUGCCUGAAUCGUGAAUAGAAGUUUUACAAGUAAAUUUUCCAUUGUUCCAUGUCGCCUAUUUAGGUGAAUCAUUUGGGGGGAGGAGAUGUUAGUUAAUCAUAUCUCAAUUUACAGGGGUUAAAGAGAAUGGAUCCGACUGUGAGCAUGAUGAUGCAACCUACCAACCUUUACCUUUUGCUGAGCUCUUUUGAUAGCAAAGAAUUCAAUCUCACUUAUCGGCUUUCUGCAGGCAAAAUCAGUUUCUUUUCCAAUUGGGCUGUCAUUGGAGUUCUGCAAUUGCUCUUUGUUGCCGAGAUAAUCAACUGAGGUAAGCUAUGCCUAUAGUACCAACUAGUACUUCGCACGGGAGAAGCCUCCACCCAGCAACAGACGUCUUUUCCAUUCGUUAGUUAAGUACUGAAGAAGGUGAAAAACAUUGGAAGGCUUUCGAAACACGUGUUAUUGAGCAUAAUGUCCUCAUCGUGGCCAAACACUACACGCGUGUGGCAAUGCAAAGGAUGAUUUCAUCCGUGAUUUUUCUAUUGAGGAACACAGAAGAAUAUCUAAUGUGGUGUACAGUUAAACUGUAACAUCGUGCGUCGGCAUUGACCCGAUUUUUAAAACCUUUUUAAGGAGAUUAGGUCCUCGAUUACUGCUGAUGUACAGGUCAAAGAUGAAAUAGCGUUAUUUAUAGAUAUUCUUUCGGGUAAUAUAAGUUUUUCGCAUUUCAGCCAACAGAUGUCGACCCUACCGCUUUUGUGUCGGUGACUCGAGAGGACGUUCUGCUCUUGGAUCUGACGAAUUGUGGAUAUGAAUGUACAAAAUCUUUGAUGACUGGAUUUGACACUCAGAACUGUUCCUGUUAGAAAGUGGAUCGAGGCUGAUGCAUACUUUCUUGUCAUAAUGCAAGAGAAAUAGGGUAAAGUUGCUGAAGCUGCAGACAUUCUCCAAGAACGUCUGUUCAAGACCGAUGAUUCUAUGGAAAAGCUAGAAAAUUGAACAGGUUGAGCUUAUCCUGAAAUGAAUGAGAUUGUUUUUUCUUCAUCUGCACUCAGAUCAUUUUGAAGAAGAUAAGUGUCAGAUUUGUUUUUAGAGAAACAUGUGCUCAGUCUUAAAGUGAAAUUUUUUCAUGUAGGAAUACUUUAACGUUGUUCCAUUUGUCUUAUUAAGCGUGGGAAGGUGGAGAGGAAAUGUUGGUAAAUUAUUCAUCAUUGUGUAGAUCCCUGAUAGAUGUUGACAAGAACAGGUAUUACAUCUCUACAUUUGUUAACAUAAUCAAGCCAUGUACAACAUAACAGUGAUCCAAGAGAAAGAGCUUCUGCAAUUGUUGGUGGUUGUCGAGCUGAUGUUUCGCUGACACGCUGUGUCAAUAGUACAAACUAGUAUGGCGAAGGGAGAGACCUUCCUCCCGACAAUGAUAUCAUUAACAUAGUUAAUGAGGAUGGCGAGAAACGGUGGAAAGUUACCGAAUACGUCUUGUAUAGAAUGUCCGAAUCAUAGCCAAACACUACAGCCUUGUGACGAUCAAUGGAUGGUUGCCCACUUUGACUAUUUUGUUGAGGGAACAGAAGAAUUUCAAUCCAAUUUAAUGUGCAGAA